UCCUAUUUGAUGUACGAUUACUAAGUUAGUGAGUUAUAAGAAUAAAGUUAUCCCAGAUAGCCUUUGACCUUAGUACUUCUCUUGGUGUUUCCCUGAUUAAAUAGUUGACUCCGGCCCAUAUAUGCCGAAAAGGCAGUUUUUUUUGAUGUUAUAUAGGAAAAGUCAAAUGUCCGACAAAAUGAAAGGUCAAGUUAAGUGGUUCAACGAGUCUAAAGGCUUCGGUUUCAUCACUCCUGCUGAUGGUAGCAAAGACGUUUUCGUUCACUUCUCUGCCAUUCAGGGCGCUGGUUUCAAAACUCUGGCAGAAGGCCAGCAAGUUGAAUUCACCAUUGAAAAUGGUGCAAAAGGCCCAGCAGCUGCUAACGUAACUGCAAUCUAAGCUUAAUUGCUUAACAAAUUUUCUAAAGCCCGUCAUUAAUAUGACGGGCUUUUUC
rnacentral:sRNA from 1 species